GGCCUCGGAGCAAGGGUAGAGUGACCAGCAAUGGCGAACCUUGGGACCGCGUGCCCAGGCUGCCGCCCCAGACCUACUGCUGCCGGGAAGCCUGGGUCCCGGUGACUCCGAUGGCACAGCCAGGACACCUUGCCGGCUGGGAGCGUGCAGCCGGGUCAGGAGCCGCUGACAGAGGCUGGGACAGUAAGAAUUCUCACCCCCGUCAGCCCUCCUGGCUAUCUACCUGCACCAAGCAGUUCAGAGAAGGUCCAGCUGCUGCUUUCCUGUUCGUCUCCGUUGUGUCCCAAGGACUUGUCAAGGGCACCAGAGGUGAGCUCCGGAAGGCAGCUCCACACCGCCAUGGGCCGGGAGAGGCAGCCCCAGGACAGCGACUGCCUGCCCUUGCCUGCCUCCCUGAGGUGCUGCUCAGAGCCCUUCCCUUCACUGCGUUGCUUUGCUUGGCCUCUCCUGCUCCUUGUGGAAGAUGCCAAAUACCCUGGAAUUGAAAGCCAAAGCUUCUCAGUAGCCACUCAUCCCCAGUUUGGCCCCUGUGUGUCCAUGAAGUACACAAGUCAAUAAACUUCUGUUUUCUCGACUUGAUCUGUCUUGUGUUUUCGUUUAUUUAUGGGGAUUCAUUCCAGCUAAGGACCUGUGAGGGAGCUGAAGAAAUGUUACUAUCCUCCAA
rnacentral:lncRNA from 1 species